CCAUAAAUUUCCCCCUUUCCUUGCCCGCGCGUCGUGCUUCUCCCAUACCUCCGUCCUUCUCUCGGCCUGCUCUUCCCUCUUCCUUGCACGCAGCUCCUCCCACCACUUAGUCUCGAGCAACCACUGUGUGUUGCCCCCGUCGCAGCGUCUCCUCGUUGUAGCUCGUCGCCCCAUCGCCACCUGUCGCCUCGUCGCCAACGGCCGCCUCCGCCUCUCUUAGGCGGGACUUAACACUGGUUGUCCUACCAUGAUAAGUCAAUUGAAAGCUCUAUCAUCAGAUCGCCCACCUCAACCCGGACUACGGAGGAGCCUGUGAUCCCUCCUAACGCACGAUCAACUACUCAUAAAAUCCACACAUUAUCUAAGACAUGUGGUUGCACUCUAUACUCUAUAGUUACGGUAUUGUGCUCUGUAAUCUGAUCUGUCCCAUCAGAGUCUGAUACUAUAUAAUACUAUUAUAUAUCUUACUGGUUUACCAUGAUCCUAUUCAACUGUAAUAUCCAUGAUUCUGUAAAGUUGUAUUAACCAUAACGUUGUAAAAUUAAUUUGUACAAACUGUAAUAACUAUAUGUUAUGGUUCUGUAAUAUCUGUAUAUCAUGGUUAUGUAAUCUGUAUAUCAUGGUACUGCAUAAACUGUAUAUCUGAAUAAAACUGUAUAUCUGAUUAAACUGUAUAUUUGAAUAAACUGUGUAACUCAUAGUUCU